rnacentral:rRNA from 1 species
GACCUCAGAUCAGGCGGGACUACCCGCUGAACUUAAGCAUAUCAAUAAGCGGAGGAAAAGAAACUAACAAGGAUUCCCCUAGUAACUGCGAGUGAAGCGGGAAGAGCUCAAAUUUAAAAUCUGGCGGCCUUGCCGUCCGAGUUGUAAUUUAGAGAAGUGUUUUCUGCGCCGGACCGUGUACAAGUCUCCUGGAACGGAGCGUCAUAGAGGGUGAGAAUCCCGUCUUUGACACGGACCCCCCGGUGCUCUGUGAUACGCUCUCGAAGAGUCGAGUUGUUUGGGAAUGCAGCUCAAAAUGGGUGGUGAACUCCAUCUAAAGCUAAAUAUUGGCGAGAGACCGAUAGCGAACAAGUACCGUGAGGGAAAGAUGAAAAGCACUUUGGAAAGAGAGUGAAACAGUACGUGAAAUUGCUGAAAGGGAAACGCUUGAAGUCAGUCCSGUCCGCCGGAAUUCAGCCUCGUGGUGUACUUUCCGACGGACGGGCCAGCAUCACUUUUGAACGCCGGAAAAGGGCGAAGGGAAUGUGGCACUUCGGGUGUGUUAUAGCCUUGUG